rnacentral:SRP_RNA from 1 species
GCCAGGCAUGGUGGCGUGCGCCUGUAGUCCCAGCUACUCCAGAGGCUGAGGCUGGAGGAUCACUUGAGCCCAGGAGUUCUGGGCUGUAGUGUGCUAUGUCAAUUGGGUGUCCGCACUAAGUUAAGCAUCAAUAUGGUGACCUCCCAGGAGCGGGGGACCACCAGGUUGCCUAAGGAGGGGUGAACCAGCCCAGGUCAGAAACAGAGCAGGUCAAAACUCCCAUGCUGAUCAGUAGUGGGAUCGCGCCUGUGAAUAGCCACUGUACUCCAGCCUGGGCAACAUAGCGAGACCUUGUCUCU